AACCUUGCCCCAGAAAGGAGCAAGAUGGGGUGAGGGGACCUGCAUUUUGUGUAAAUUCUCCAGGCAAUUCUGAAACUGCCCAGGCUGAUAGACCAGAGGUGCAACGUGGAGCGUGCCUUCUUCAUCCUUGACGGGAAGUGAGCUGGAGACAGAGCUGCGGAAAUAAAUACAGGAUGCCGUGUGAAACUUGAAUUCCAGGAAGUUAUCAAAAAAGAAAAAUAAUAACGUAAGACAUGCUAGAGCAAGACAGGAGCAAGAAGCACUGACGCCAUGCAGAGGCCACUUCCAUCUCGUCAAGUCCUCAGAUGUAAAGCUGCCAUCCAAAAAUAGAGAGAGCAAUGGUGCUCCCUUCAUGAACAUCCUGAAACAAUCCCAGGAUUUGGGUUUUGUGGUGGUUUCCUCAGUUCCUCCCAUUUUUAACCCAAAUGGAUCUCAUGAAGCUGGUUCCUGAGGCAGUAGCAAAACAGCUUUCUUUAUGUCACAAAACUUUCUGGAAGUUUGCGACUUCAAAGUGGAAUCUGUGGUGGGGCAGUGGUAUCAGAGCACACUGCAGGAACAUGCAGGAGAGGCUGGCAUCCCAUGAGCCUCCCCUUUCAUCCUUAAGCACACACCUGCACAUCUUGUUUAGUUGUAGAAAAGUUACUCUAAACCAGAGAGAAAUCUACCCACUAUUAGAUCAUGCAGUGAUCCAGUCAGUGUCUGUUAAGCGCUAACAACAUGGCCACCACUUUGUAGGGUGCAGUGAUGUGGUGGAGACAGAGACACCAUGCUUCCUGUCAUUUGUAGUCCCGGACUAUGUCCUGGACUGUGUCCUUUAUAGUCCAGCAAUGCCUGGAGUAAUACCUGAUUUGUAAAGAGGCAGAAACUUGGUUUUGGUGGAUUUGACUCUCAGGAAGGGAGACAGUAACCUUUGGAUUUUUCUUCCCUUCUGUUUUCUAUAUCUGUGCUUUCUACCAACUUAUCCUCCUAGGACUCUAACUCAAACCAAUUAUUUCAUGCGUGUGUUGCAGAAACCAGUAGUAAUCUACAAAUUGACCCUAAUACCCUUUUUUUUGGGUGGGUGAAAUUAUAUAAUAUGCUAAAUUCCUAGAGUUUUGGUUCUGCUUUGUUGUCUCUGAAUGUCCUAUGAACUACGAAUUAGAAAAAAACAGAAGGAAAACAAAUUUGAAAUCCCAGUAGGACUGUUCGGGUAGCUGGGUGGUCUGGAUCACAUGUGUUCCCAAUUCUGUUCUGAGCUGUUCCACUGAUUCGCGGACGUUGAGACACUCUGUCUUGUGUCAACCUGGCCAUUGUAAACCAAAGGGUCCUGGCCAAACAUGGCCAACAGUCUAGUGCAGAAUAAUGAUAUCUCCCUAAAAGGAGAUGUCAACCAAUGUUAGAUGUAAACCAAUGUUAACCGUGGUUUCCAUGACUAAUUGAGAAGAAGGAAUAUGAGGUUUAAAUGCUGGUUCCAGCAUCUUCUAGCUAUAUGACCAUGAGAACUUGGGCAAGUUAAUAUAACA